rnacentral:rRNA from 1 species
UACGUAGGAUCCAAGCGUUGUCCGGAUUUACUGGGUAUAAAGGGUGCGUAGGCGGCUUUUUGCGUCAGAGGUGAAAUCCACGGGCUUAACCCGUGGGGUGCCUUUGAAACGGGAAGGCUUGAGUAUGACAGAGGCGGAUGGAAUUCCUGGUGUAGCAGUGAAAUGCGUAGAUAUCAGGAGGAACACCGGUGGCGAAGGCGGUCCGCUGGGUCAUAACUGACGCUGAGGCACGAAAGCAUGGGGAUCAAACAGG